UAAAUUUCCUCUUUCAAUCAUAUUGGUUGGUGUUGGAGAUGGACCUUGGGACAUGAUGAGAGAGUUUGAUGAUAAUAUCCCCUCUCGGGCCUUUGAUAAUUUCCAGUUUGUAAAUUUCACGGAAAUUAUGUCAAAGAACAUCCCUACUUCACGAAAAGAAGCAGCAUUUGCUCUUUCAGCAUUGAUGGAAAUUCCUUCUCAAUAUAAAGCAGCAAUCGAGCUUAAUCUACUGGGCUCCUCCGGCUCCAAGUUCUGCUUAUGAUAAUCAGCUUUGCCCUAUAUGUUUGACAAAUUCAAAAGACAUGGCUUUCGGAUGUGGGCAUCAGACAUGUUGUGAGUGUGGACAAGAUCUUCAGUCGUGUCCCAUCUGUAGGAGCCCCAUUAACACAAGAAUAAAGCUUUACUAAGCGGGUUCUUUCCUUGGGGAGUAAUUAAUUUGUACGGUGUUGGCGAAAAUUCUUUAAAUUAUUUUAUCUGGUUCAUAUAACAUUUGAUCAAAUCUCUGUUUCUACAAAUGAAAAGAUGUACCUACAGCAUGUAAUCAUUCCAUGAUUUUUUUUUUCUUUUCCUCAUUGCUUUUGGUUCAUGACUGUAACGAUUUGAAGAGUUACAGGCCUAGUGUGGUGUUUGUACAGUGUAAAUGGAUUAUUUUGGUUUGAUUUGUAUUAAUGAAAGCUUAGAGCUGACUUCCCAAUAGAA